CCUACGGGACGCAGCAGUGGGGAAUAUUGCACAAUGGGCGCAAGCCUGAUGCAGCCAUGCCGCGUGUGUGAAGAAGGCCUUCGGGUUGUAAAGCACUUUCAGCGAGGAGGAAGGUGGUGAGCUUAAUGCGCUCAUCAAUUGACGUUACUCGCAGAAGAAGCACCGGCUAACUCCGUGCCAGCAGCCGCGGUAAUACGGAGGGUGCAAGCGUUAAUCGGAAUUACUGGGCGUAAAGCGCACGCAGGCGGUUUGUUAAGUCAGAUGUGAAAUCCCCGGGCUCAACCUGGGAACUGCAUUCGAAACUGGCAAGCUAGAGUCUCGUAGAGGGGGGUAGAAUUCCAGGUGUAGCGGUGAAAUGCGUAGAGAUCUGGAGGAAUACCGGUGGCGAAGGCGGCCCCCUGGACGAAGACUGACGCUCAGGUGCGAAAGCGUGGGGAGCAAACAGGAUUAGAUACCCGGGUAGUC
rnacentral:rRNA from 1 species